AGCCGCACAGGUCCUGCUUCAACAUUUGAUCACACUGCAGAGGAGAUAAGAGAAGUCAAAGCAAAGGCAUUCAACUUUAAAGAAAGCACAGACAAUGUAAAUGUCGCACAUGAUGUGAUUCUGGAAGUUAAUAAUGGCAACCAUGAAGCUCAAUAUAAUCAGAGCUUUGAAAAGGUUGGAGAAAUACUUACAGAAGUGGAAGGUUAUGAUAAUAUUUCAGACACCACAUUCAAGAAAACAUCCGUAGACA